rnacentral:rRNA from 1 species
GCAGCAGCCGCGGUAACACGGAGGGUGCAAGCGUUAAUCGGAAUUACUGGGCGUAAAGCGCACGCAGGCGGUCUGACAAGUCAGAUGUGAAAUCCCCGGGCUUAACCUGGGAACUGCAUUUGAAACUGUCAGGCUGGAGUCUUGUAGAGGGGGGUGGAAUUCCAGGUGUAGCGGUGAAAUGCGUAGAGAUCUGGAGGAAUACCGGUGGCGAAGGCGGCCCCCUGGACAAAGACUGACGCUCAGGUGCGAAAGCGUGGGGAGCAAACAGGAUUAGAUACCCGCGUAGUCCCUGUCUCUUAUAC